rnacentral:rRNA from 1 species
UAGCGGAGGGUGCAAGCGUUGUCCGGAUUUAUUGGGUUUAAAGGGUGCGUAGGCGGCUUCAUAAGUCCGUGGUGAAAGCCAACAGCUCAACUGUUGAACUGCCAUGGAUACUGUGAGGCUUGAGUACAGACGAGGUAGGCGGAAUGGAUCGUGUAGCGGUGAAAUGCAUAGAUACGAUCCAGAACACCGAUUGCGUAGGCAGCUUACUAGGCUGUAACUGACGCUGAGGCACGAAAGCGUGGGGAGCGAACAGG